rnacentral:rRNA from 1 species
UGGGUCUCGCUCGUUACCUGACUUAACAGGAUGCUUCACAGUACGAACUGACGACGGCCAUGCACCACCUCUCAGCUAAUCCGGCAAAGUCUUCAGCCUGGCCUUCAUAUUGCUGUCGGUCCCGGUAAGAUUUCCGGCGUUGAAUCCAAUUAAACCGCAAGCUCCACCCGUUGUGGUGCUCCCCCGCCAAUUCCUUUAAGUUUCAGCCUUGCGGCCGUACUUCCCAGGUGGCUCGCUUCACGGCUUCCCUACGGCACCGACAACGGUCGCACCGUGGCCGACACCUAGCGAGUAUCGUUUACGGCUAGGACUACCCGGGUAUCUAAUCCGGUUCGUGCCCCUAGCUUUCGUCCCUUGCCGUCAGGUCCGUUCUGGUGAGACGCCUUCGCCACUGGUGGUCCUUCAAGGAUUACAAGAUUUCACCCCUACCCCUGAAGUACCUCUCACCUCUCCCGGCCUCGAGCCAGACAGUAUCUCCUGAAAGCCUGACAGUUAAGCUGCCAGAUUUCUCAAGAGACUUAUCCGGCCGGCUACAGACCCUUUAGACCCAAUAAUAACGGUUACCACUCGAGCCGCCGGUGUUACCGCGGCGGCUGGCACCGGUCUUGCCCGGCCCUUGCUAUGAAAUGCUUUUUAGGCAUCUCGACAGCCAGAUUUGUAACCUGGCACUCGAGGUUCCCUUAUCGCUGUUGCCAGCAUUGUAAAGUUUUCGCGCCUGCUGCACCCCGUAGGGCCUGGAUUCGUGUCUCAGAAUCCAUCUCCGGGCUCUUGCUCUCACAACCCGUACCCGUCGUAAGCUAGUAGGUACGCUACACCCACU